rnacentral:lncRNA from 1 species
AGGUUUCAUUUAAGAACAGAAGGAUCUAACAUCCCCGAGUUUGAAGACAAGCUGCUUCCAAAAUACAAUAGAAGUAGAUCAAAAAGCAAAUGGGAACUCUGCUUUCUUUAUGAACUGAUGAGGAAAGACUUUAAGAGAAAAAGAGGAGGCAGCACAUCUUAGGAUUUGAAUCAGACAACUGCAACAGCAAGUUUGACCGAAGUGUGAGAAGAUUUGCUAAAUGGAGAACUUCUGUGUAGAGGCAUAACUUAGCUAUGAAAGUGUAAACAUUUGGAUGUGUGGAUCAUCAUUGCAGUGUGAUUGUCUGAUACAGUUAGGUCUCAGACAAGAUCACUAGUCCUGGUAGAAUGCAAAUGACUGUUAAUAACAGCAAUCUUAGAACGUUGCACAAACAGUAGAAGUAUGUUUUGCAGCUUGUUAUGAGACUCAGUAGAAAAUUACUUGUUUUACUAGUUAUUAAAUCAACAGACAGCUAACUGCCUUGCCUGAGAUAACAGGAAGGCUGUGGAUUAUGUGGAGGAACUAACCAGCAGCUAGACCUCCAGACUCCUAAGUUUGUGCAACUCCAGAUACUCCCUCCAGCCACUUCAACCCAAAAACUGUGAUAUUGGAAGGUGUAACCCAUCUGAAGAAUGGAGAGUGCAAUCAUUGGUCCACACCAAUGUGAUUUUGUUGUUUUUUUCACCUUCAG